rnacentral:rRNA from 1 species
GAUGAACGCUGGCGGCGUGCCUAAUACAUGCAAGUCGAGCGAACAGACUAGGAGCUUGCUCCUCUGACGUUAGCGGCGGACGGGUGAGUAACACGUGGAUAACCUACCUAUAAGACUGGGAUAACUUCGGGAAACCGGAGCUAAUACCGGAUAAUAUAUUGAACCGCAUGGUUCAAUAGUGAAAGACGGUUUUGCUGUCACUUAUAGAUGGAUCCGCGCCGCAUUAGCUAGUUGGUAAGGUAACGGCUUACCAAGGCAACGAUGCGUAGCCGACCUGAGAGGGUGAUCGGCCACACUGGAACUGAGACACGGUCCAGACUACUACGGGAGGCACCAGUAGGGAAUCUUCCGCAAUGGGCGAAAGCCUGACGGAGCAACGCCGCGUGAGUGAUGAAGGUCUUCGGAUCGUAAAACUCUGUUAUUAGGGAAGAACAAAUGUGUAAGUAACUAUGCACGUCUUGACGGUACCUAAUCAGAAAGCCACGGCUAACUACGUG